rnacentral:rRNA from 1 species
GACAGAGGGUGCAAACGUUGUUCGGAAUUACUGGGCGUAAAGCGCGUGUAGGCGGCUAAGCAAGUCGGGCGUGAAAUCCCACCGCUCAACGGUGGAAGUGCACCCGAAACUGCAUAGCUAGAGUCCUGGAGAGGAAGGUGGAAUGCUUGGUGUAGAGGUGAAAUUCGUAGAUAUCAAGCGGAACACCGGUGGCGAAGGCGGCCUUCUGGACGAUGACUGACGCUGAGACGCGAAAGCGUGGGGAGCAAACAGG